UAGGGAAUCUUCCACAAUGGGCGCAAGCCUGAUGGAGCAACACCGCGUGAGUGAAGAAGGGUUUCGGCUCGUAAAGCUCUGUUGUUAAAGAAGAACACGUAUGAGAGUAACUGUUCAUACGUUGACGGUAUUUAACCAGAAAGUCACGGCUAACUACGUGCCAGCAGCCGCGGUAAUACGUAGGUGGCAAGCGUUAUCCGGAUUUAUUGGGCGUAAAGAGAGUGCAGGCGGUUUUCUAGGUCUGAUGUGAAAGCCUUCGGCUUAACCGGAGAAGUGCAUCGGAAACUGGAUAACUUGAGUGCAGAAGAGGGUAGUGGAACUCCAUGUGUAGCGGUGGAAUGCGUAGAUAUAUGGAAGAACACCAGUGGCGAAGGCGGCUACCUGGUCUGCAACUGACGCUGAGACUCGAAAGCAUGGGUAGCGAACAGGAUUAGAUACCCUGGUAGUCCAUGCCGUAAACGAUGAGUGCUAGGUGUUGGAGGGUUUCCGCCCUUCAGUGCCGGAGCUAACGCAUUAAGCACUCCGCCUGGGGAGUACGACCGCAAGGUUG
rnacentral:rRNA from 1 species